rnacentral:misc_RNA from 1 species
GAAUGUUGCUUUUAGCUCUGCUCAACAUUUUUUGAUAUUGGCUCUAUGGAAAUUUGCAUCUAAUUUGAAAAUCUCCGAGUGCUUCUCCAAUUCAUCAAGUGAUUUUGUGAUAUUAGAGGUUAAAUCUGUGUUUAAACAUCUGUAGGUGUUGUAUUGAUGUGGAUAUUGCAUAUGGAAUCUGUUUAAGGGUGGCAAUUUUAGACAUGAUCCUUGAACACAACACAAACAUGCC